rnacentral:rRNA from 1 species
CCCAUAGAUGUUCUGGGCCGCACGCGCGCUACACUGAACAGUUCAACAAGUCUUAACCUUGGCCGAUAGGUCUGGGUAAUCUUUGAACGCUGUUCGUGACUGGGAUAGACCUUUGCAAUUAUGGGUCUUCAACGAGGAAUUCCUAGUAAACGCAAGUCAUCAGCUUGCAUUGAUUACGUCCCUGCCCUUUGUACACACCGCCCGUCGCACCUACCGAUUGAAUGGUCCGGUGAAAUCUCGGGACGGCGGCUUGGUCGCUUGCGUCCGACUGCUGAAACUUGAUUAAACCAUAUCAUUUAGAGGAAGGUGAAGUCGUAACA